rnacentral:rRNA from 1 species
ACGGGGGAUGCAAGCGUUAUCCGGAAUUAUUGGGCGUAAAGAGUCCGUAGGUGGUCUUGCAAGUCGACUGUCAAAGCCCGCAGCUUAACUGCGGAGAGGCGGUGGAAACUGUGAGACUAGAGUAUGGUAGGGGUAGAGGGAAUUCCCAGUGUAGCGGUGAAAUGCGUAGAUAUUGGGAAGAACACCGGUGGCGAAAGCGCUCUACUGGACCAUAACUGACACUCAGGGACGAAAGCCAAGGUAGCGAAAGGG